rnacentral:piRNA from 1 species
UGACAUGGUGGUACUUGCCUGUAUUC